UACGGAGGGGGCUAGCGUUGUUCGGAAUUACUGGGCGUAAAGCGCACGUAGGCGGCUUUGCAAGUUAGAGGGGAAAUCCUGGAGCUCAACUCCAGAACUGCCUUCGAUACUGGAGAGCUUGAGUCCGGGAGAGGUGAGUGGAACUGCGAGUGUAGAGGUGAAAUUCGUAGAUAUUCGCAAGAACACCAGUGGCGAAGGCGGCUCACUGGCCCGGUACUGACGCUGAGGUGCGAAAGCGUGGGGAGCAAACAGG
rnacentral:rRNA from 1 species